rnacentral:misc_RNA from 1 species
AGGUGCGGCAGGAACAAUCCUCUGAGCUACUAGCAUUAUUCAUUUAGUCCUGUUAAACGGAUUAUUUCUAUUGCUGCAGCUAAUGUUAAAGGUCGAUUGUCCUUGCGCCGACUGAUGCAGGAAUUGUCAAGAGAAGGACGACCGUCUUUUUUCUUGUUCAACUCGAUCUCAAAUCAAGUAAGACUACCCGCUGAACUUAA